GAUGAACGCUGGCGGCGUGCCUAAUACAUGCAAGUCGAGCGAACGCAUCAGAAGCUUUCUUCUCCGAUGUUAUCGGCGGUCGGGAGAGUAACACAGGGAUAACCUAACUAUAAGACAGGGAUAACAUCGGGAAACCGUAGCUAAUACCGGAUAAUAUUUUGAACCGCAAGGGUCAAAAGUUGAAGACGGUCUUGCUGUGACUUAUAGCUGGAUCCGGGCUGCAUUAGUUAGUUGGUAAGGUAACGGAUUACCAAGGCAACGAUGGAUAGCCGACCUGAGAGGGUGAUCGGACAGACGGGAUGAGAGACACGGUAGAGACUCCUGAGGGAGGACGCAGUAGGGAAUCUUCCGCGAUGGGCGAGAGGCUGACGGAGGAACGCCGGGUGAGGGCUGAUGGUCUUCGGCUCGUUAAGCUCUGUUAUUAUUGGAGAUCAUAUGUGUAAGUAACUGUGCACAUCUUGACGGUACCUGGUCAGUAAGCCACGGCUAACUACGUG
rnacentral:rRNA from 1 species